CUGGACUUUUAAUCUAAUGAGAGAUGCACUUCUGGAAUGUUCGACUACACAUGAGAUUCCUCAAAUGUCAGGCUGGAGGGCUGUGUAGUCCUAGCUGUUCUGCAACUAGCUCUGUAUAGCAGACUGGCCUAAAACUCAGGGAUCCUCCUGUCUUCAUCUCCAUCUUGUUCUGAGAUUAAGAGUGUGCCACCACACGCAGCUGAGUGAAACUCCUUUUAAAAGGGUUUCUUAAAGAGAACUAAUCUCUCUGAAGUAUCAUCAAGUGGAGUUUUCCUGUGAGUUGCCCAGGUGGACUUGAAUGGUUGAAUCCUCAUUCAGAGUAUCUGGGAAGUGUGAGUUCAUGAGGAUGGAAUAGCCAGCAUUCACAAACCAAGAUGCUUCAAAGAGCCUUCAUAAGCAGUGUAUACCACUGCCUGAUACCAGAGGCAUCCAUACUACCAAGUACUCAGUGGACAACGUUUAAGGAAACUGAAUCUAAUACUGGACUCAGAGGCCCAUGAUGAAAUCAUGAAGCUGCAGUGCUCAGUAGCAAACAGUGAGAGACACCAUAACUUUGGUCAAAACCAUGUGAAUUUACUUUGAAAAGUCCCAUCCCUCCCUGCCCACAUAGAAGGAAUGUCUGCACCUUGUCUGCAUAACCUGUUUGUAUUCCAA
rnacentral:lncRNA from 1 species